GUGAGAUCGCCAAGUGCAUUUUCUCAAAAACUCCAUCAAAAUCCUUAACGGCAGCUCUAGUUAAACCACGUUUCACAUUUAAAAGCUUAUUGACUAAUUAUAAAAAUAUUACGUACAUACCAUAAUUGCAAUUAACUAGAAAUAUGUACGUUCCUUUGCUACACAAAUAAAAGUAGUCUUAAGUUGUUUGGGUACCUAUGUCAAACCAUAAAACACAUUCAGUAGUUAGAACUUAGAAGUUGUCCAUCGCUCAACCUUUCCAGUAUGAACAAUUCGGUUUCGAUCCGUCUAGAUAUUAGAAUUACAAAACCUACUUUUGAUGACUUGAAAAACCACAAGCUUAUGAGAUUGUGGCUGCACUGAUCUGUCUAAGCUUUUGUGGAUUGUUUUGCUUUCUUGUUUUUUUCUCUUUCUGCCAAGAAACCAAUCUGUUGUAAGGUUACAUUUUCAUGUAAAACCAAACUCUUUCAUAUUAUAUGAUAUUUACAAGUUAGCAAAAAAAAAAAAAACAUAGCAAUUCCAAUGAGGAUUCAGAGAGAACACUUACUCGUACUUCAUCUGUGAAAAUAACGUUCUCAUUUGAUGGGUUUUGAUGAUGCCUUCUUUCUUAUUAACACUUUUUUCUUUGCUUAAUAAUCCAAAAAAAAAACUUCUUCAUCGUCCUGUUAAUAUUUUCGAAUAGCGAAGGAUAACCAAGUGACUAAUUAAGUGAUUAAACUUUCA
rnacentral:lncRNA from 1 species